rnacentral:rRNA from 1 species
UAGUCAUAUGCUUGUCUCAAAGAUUAAGCCAUGCAUGUCUAAGUAUAAGCAAUUUAUAAAGUGAAACUGCGAAUGGCUCAUUAAAUCAGUUAUCGUUUAUUUGAUGAUCUCUUACUACAUGGAUAACCGUGGUAAUUCUAGAGCUAAUACAUGCGUAAUGUCCCGACCUCUGGAAGGGAUGUAUUUAUUAGAUAAAAAACCAAUGCCUUCGGGCUUCUUGGUGAUUCAUAGUAACUUAACGAAUCGCAUAGCCUUGUGCUGGCGAUAGUUCAUUCAAAUUUCUGCCCUAUCAACUUUCGAUGGUAGGAUAUAGGCCUACCAUGGUUUCAACGGGUAACGGGGAAUUAGGGUUCUAUUCCGGAGAGGGAGCCUGAGAAACGGCUACCACAUCCAAGGAAGGCAGCAGGCGCGCAAAUUACCCAAUCCCGACUCGGGGAGGUAGUGACAAUAAAUACUGAUACAGGGGGCUUAUGCCUCUUGUAAUUGGAAUGAGUACAAUUUAAAUCUCUUAACGAGGAACAAUU